GAUCGCUAAUACCGCAUGACAUAGCGGAACCGCAUGGUUUUGCUAUCAAAGAUUUUAUCGCUGAUAGAUGGGCUCGCGUCCGAUUAGAUAGUUGGUGGGGUAACGGCCUACCAAGUUGACGAUCGGUAGCCGGACUGAGAGGUCGAACGGCCACAUUGGGACUGAGACACGGCCCAGACUCCUACGGGAGGCAGCAGUGGGGGAUAUUGCACAAUGGGGGAAACCCUGAUGCAGCGACGCCGCGUGAGGGAAGACGGUCCUCUGGAUUGUAAACCUCUGUCUUCGGGGACGAAACGAGACGGUACCCGAGGAGGAAGCCACGGCUAACUACGUGCCAGCAGCCGCGGUAAUACGUAGGUGGCAAGCGUUGUCCGGAAUUACUGGGUGUAAAGGGAGCGUAGGCGGGCAGGCAAGUCAGGCGUGAAAUAUAUCGGCUCAACCGGUAACGGCGCUUGAAACUGCAGGUCUUGAGUGAAGUAGAGGUUGGCGGAAUUCCUAGUGUAGCGGUGAAAUGCGUAGAUAUUAGGAGGAACACCAGUGGCGAAGGCGGCCAACUGGGCUUUUACUGACGCUGAGGCUCGAAAGUGUGGGGAGCAAACAGGAUUAGAUACCCUGGUAGUCCACACCGUAAACGAUGAUUACUAGGUGUGGGGGGACUGACCCCUUCCGUGCCGGAGUUAACACAAUAAGUAAUCCACCUGGGGAGUAC
rnacentral:rRNA from 1 species